AACGAACGCUGGCGGCAGGCUUAACACAUGCAAGUCGAGCGCCCCGCAAGGGGAGCGGCAGACGGGUGAGUAACGCGUGGGAAUCUACCCAUCUCUACGGAAUAACGCAUGGAAACGUGUGCUAAUACCGUAUACGUCCUUCGGGAGAAAGAUUUAUCGGAGAUGGAUGAGCCCGCGUUGGAUUGGCUAGUUGGUGGGGUAAAGGCCUACCAAGGCGACGAUCCAUAGCUGGUCGGAGAGGAUGAUCAGCCACACUGGGACUGAGACACGGCCCAGACUCCUACGGGAGGCAGCAGUGGGGAAUAUUGGACAAUGGGCGCAAGCCUGAUCCAGCCAUGCCGCGUGAGUGAUGUAGGCCCUAGGGUUGUAAAGCUCUUUCACCGGUGAAGAUAAUGACGGUAACCGGAGAAGAAGCCCCGGCUAACUUCGUGCCAGCCGCCGCCGUAAAAC
rnacentral:rRNA from 1 species